UACGUAGGGGGCAAGCGUUGUUCGGAAUUACUGGGCGUAAAGCGCGUGUAGGCGGUCUGGAAAGUUGGGUGUGAAAUCCCUCGGCCUAACCGAGGAACUGCGCUUGAAACUACCAGACUCGAGGGAGAUAGAGGAAAGCGGAACUGAUGGUGGAGCGGUGAAAUGCGUUGAUAUCAUCAGGAACACCGGUGGCGAAGGCGGCUUUCUGGGUCUUACCUGACGCUGAGGAGCGAAAGCGUGGGGAGCGAACAGG
rnacentral:rRNA from 1 species